rnacentral:lncRNA from 1 species
ACACAGGUGGAAGCUACACCUCUGGCACAGAUUAGGUACCUAAACACACUUCCUGCCUCUGGCUAGUUGUUGGAGCCUGAGCUGCAUAAGCAAAUAAGUACGAGUAGUUUUUUUCUCCCCCUUCGAUCUGAAAACUUAAGGUAGUUUGAUCUGUCUUGCUGGCGCCAACGCUCUACUGGCCAGAGAGAAAGGACACAGAUGGAAAACAGACCCAGCCAGUGAGCACUUGAUUAGAACAUCGCCAUGGGGUUCCUGAGCCGGACAGAUUGAGAACAGCCCUGUCUGAAAAGGAUUCUGAAAUUAUAAUCCAGGUCAGAUUGGAGAGGCAGAAGAGUUUGCAGAUUGCUCAGCCACUGAUUUAAGUGGUGGCCAUGGCAACUAGCUGAACAAGGAACUGUGUCCUUUUAACAUCAAGACUCUGAUUGGUCCAUCCUGAGACAUGUGUGCAUCUCUAGACUAAUUACUGUCUCCAGGGGAAGAGUUUCCAGAGAUAAGGCCAUCCCGCCUUCCUUCUGGAGCAGAGAGGGAGACACCCCCCACAGAUGGAGACUUCCUUCACAAAUGCAAACGUCUCUCAUCAAAGGGCAAGUAAAUUCCACUCCUCUGAGCCUCCCUCUCAUCUGCAGUUUUUUAAAAUUAACCAGCCGAAAUCCUCAUCAGCCAUGGCAACUAGCUGAACAAGGAAUUGUGUCCUUUUAACAUCAAGACUCUGAUUGGUCCAUCCUGAGACAUGUGUGCAUCUCUAGACUAAUUACUGUCUCCAGGGGAAGGAAUUCCCAGUGUCUCAGAAAAUGAUAACCAGCAGGAGAGCGUAUAUAAGAAAAUAGCAUAAAGAUGCUGGCAGCAAACCAAGGUUGGUUACAGAUUAUUUGUGUUGACACUCCUGUCGCUCUAUGUGAAUGCUCCUCUCAUAUCAAGAAGCAAAGUCUGGAUCCAUGAAUCUUGACUGGCCUUGGAACUUGCCUUGACCAACAGAUAGCAUCACAAGCGAUGCUCUGGGAUAUCUGAGCUGAAGCCGUAAAAGAACUGGAAGCUCCCACUCACCUUCUCUUGGAGCCCAGUUGCCCUGCUGUAAAGAAGUCAGACUAGACUGUGGAAUGGUAUGAGAAACUCUGGAGGGGGGGGGGGGGGGG